GGAUGUGGCAACGAAGAGGGGACUGAGUC
rnacentral:piRNA from 1 species